ACAUGUUAUAAUUCAGUAUUAUAUUAUAUGUUACAGGUAAUUAUGACAAAGAAGAGAGGAGCUGGAGAGGUAGAAAGCCAACACGUAGGGAGAUCCAAAAGAGCACGGAGAGAGUAGGAGAGAGACUUUUCAGAAGUUCAGGAACAGCUCCCCCAGAGAAACAGCAACACGAUGAUGAAUGAAGAAAGAUAGCAGUGGGCUGCAUGACUUGUAAAAAGUCAUAGUUCCAACUUGCACUAAAUGUAACAUUAAGGUAUUGAUUUUUAUUUUGGAACUUGGUUACUGUAUCCAGUAAGAAGGAAAUGAUGUAAUAGAAGCCAAGAAGUGACAUAAGUUUCUAGGCUCUCUCUGUUUCUUAUAUGUUAUGUCUACUUUUAUUAGCCUGUGAUCAUUUACAAGCAGAAUUUUUAUGUGUGCAUCAAGUUUCAGGGGAAUUAUAUUGAUUUAAGGUGCUGGAACAAGUACAAUUGUCUGUUUGCAAAAAUGCAAUUUGAUAAGACUAUGUGGAUUCAUGAUCUUUGCUUGCUAGAUAUUAUACUUUUAAGAGAUUUAAACAUGUGUAAGCAAAUGAUACACUUUGUUGUGUUUGAUUAUAUGAUAUUCUAUGGAUCCAGUUACACAUGAUAUUUUUAUUUUACAUCAGAAUUAGUUACUUGUAUAUAAUUUCCCCCAAAUUUGGGCUAAAUCAUCAUGUUUUUGUACAAUUUAAAGAAAUUGUUCUAAGAUCUGCUGAAGAUAGUUAAAUCACUUAUUUUAAGAUGUAAAAUAUGAAUGAGUUUCUAAACUCCCCCAUUGUACAGUGACAACCUGUAGUAUAUAACUGUAAGAUACAGUUAGCCUAUGUGGUUAACUCAAGAGUUAUACCACUUAUCUAGUACCUGAUAAGGCUUAAGUACUGUAAGUAAUAUGGUUGUGCACCUACUUGUCAGCUCACAAAGAGUAUAAACUUUCAGAUCAUUAUAGGGCUCAUGACUUAGAAUGUGUUACUUCUACAAUUCACUUUUUGACAAGAGCCUAAAGUAAUCUAACAUUAGAAUAGCUUAUAGCAACCAUUUCCUGUAACACCAAUGCUAUGAUGUUGAUAUAUCUUUCAUUAUGUUUGCUUGUUCACACCAUUUGAUUGUACUUUGUUAGCCAAUACCAAAAAUAUGAUAUCAUGUUUGUCUGUGGAAGCCUUUUAAUGUCACCAGAGAAACCUAAAUAUUAAUCACUUUCAUGAGGUUGUAGAUGUAUUAUUAAGUUUGUUUCUGUGUUUGACUGUUGGUAAGUAUGAUGUGAUAGCAAUAACUUAAGU